rnacentral:lncRNA from 1 species
UCCAGAUGGAGGAGGAUCUCUCUAACUGCCUCCACCUGAGUCACUGGGUGUGUAUUCUGCAUAGCAUUCCAGACUUCCAGGUCAGGGCAUAAAGUGCUCUGAGGAUAACUGAUCUGACUAUUAAAGGCACCCUGCAUACCUUAGCAACUUCCUUGUAGUCUACCCAGGUAACCUGUCCCUUCUUCUGGAGAAUAUAGGCUCUCAAAGUAUGUGUGCACCUGGGGCAGACUGCGGUAAAUAACAAAUUUGUACGGAUACCCGUGGCUGUUCCUCUACCACGAUGUUCAUCUGCCCAGUGGAGAUAUGAAAUACAAUGACAAACAAAAAAUGUUUAGUAAUAUGGCCUUUACUGCAGACUGUAUGCAAAUUAUAUGUGGUUAUCUCUUGGGGUUGUUUCUGUGUUGAUUAAUGAAAAUGUGUAGGUUAGGCUGUUAAGAAGCCUUGAUGGAAUUGGAACUUAUCUAGAGAUUUUUAUGCUCAAUCAGAUCAGACAACCUGGAUGGAGAGCUAUUUCUCCUUUCAGACAAUUGGAAAUUAAGAAGAAUUAGAAGGUAUAUAAUUUUUCUACCUGCAGGACUUAAAUCUAUAUGCUAUUACUGCUAUAAAUUUCUCUGAAGUUUUUUCAGUUGUUUGCCUUCUUCACUCUCAAAUGCAUUGGCAAAAUGAUGUAUAUACCUAUACGCCUCACGGUUACCAUCUUGCUGCACACUUCUGGGCUGUUGGAGUUACAGACAUUCCGAAGAACGAGUUUGUAAACUGAAGCAGUUAGUGGAAGGUGUUUCUAUGGCUGACAGAUUAGAUGUUGAUAUCAGGAAAGCAAAACUAAGAGAAGUGAAGUAGAAUGGUGUGAUGGUCUGAUUAUGACCUAGCUCAGAUGGCGCUGAAGAAGCGUAGACGUGACUACUGUGACUUUCUUAUUAUUUUUUGUAUAUGAAAGAGUCUUUGAAAGAAAGAGAUAAGCCUGCUCAACAUCUUUUUGUCUUUCUGUGGUAAAUAUGAGAAGACAGAUAACGACUGCUUCUUUACUUAGCAGCGCUUUCCAAAGACAUUAGAUGAGCUCCAUGACUGAAAGGCAGUGCUUGUAAUUUCUGGCUAUGAUUUCAAGGUAUUACCUGAUACCUGUGAAACUUGUUGCUGUCUGAGGUGGUUUAUUUCUUUGCCUGACAGCACAGCAACAAAGUUCAGAUGAGCUGGAAGUAAUCGUCUCUUCAUUUUGAGUAUGAAAAAACAGAAUGUGAGUAUGUUUUUCAUGAAGGUAUGAUGUCAGCUCUGCCACAUCUCUUUCAUAUUUGUUCUUGCAAUUGCAAAUUUGUUUUGACUUCACUGUUAUAAAAUGCACCUUUAAUCUGGGGUUUAUGCAAGGUGAGAUAGGAGAUAAGGUUAUGAUAGUGAGUCUUUGUUGAACUUUCUUGCUAGAGCUUUCUUAGAAUAUUUUAUUUAACUCUUGGUUUAUCUACAUGCAGAACAAAUUAUGAAAUAAUACCAAAGGGAUAUUUUUUAAACAAUACAAGUGGAAGUGUCAGAAAUCUUUAAUGUAAAAGCUAGGUUUUCUGAAGAAAAUACACAUGGAAGUGUAACAGUAUAACAGUGGCAGGAUGGAAAGCAUGAAGAAAAGAGAUUCAUCUUUACUUCAUCAUACUCAUAAAUAAAAAUCAAUACUGUAAUUUUUUGUCAUAUUUUCUGCCUUGAUGAUUAUUCACUCUCUUUCUUUUAUUAGCGAGCUGAAAAAAAUACUGUUUGAGUGUUUAUGCUGCUGCACAGGUCAGGUAGGUUGACUCUUGUGUUAACUUACUAAUUAUGCGUUGAAUGUGUAUCUGGUUCAGAAAGUUCUCAACUUGGGCAUAAAAUUUUAGCAUAGCAAUGGGCAUGAUUUGGCUCAUGUCUUUCUAAAGUACAGAAGAGCAGUUGUGGAGUCUUUAGCUCAGGAGGAAGAAGAACUGCUGGCACCCAGCAGCAGUUGUUUGUAAUACAUCUUCUUGGAGGAAAAGGAAUUUUUUCUUAGGCUCUAGUUGGGCUGCUGGUACUACUGAGUCUUACUAUAAUCUUUAUUUAACAAACAAACAAAAAAAAAGCACGUUAAAACAAUAAAAAAGUGCCUGCACUUCUGAUAAAUCAAAUUGAAUUUGUUCAUUGUUUGGAAUUCAGUCCAAACAUUUUUAAUAGAUUUUACUUAUCUGAAAAUUCAAAACCUUUGUUCUGGAUUGACCUAUGGCCUUUCUUCUAAUAAAGAGAAAAAGCAUCAUGUUGCUUCUACAAACACCCUGAAUAAUGGACAUUUAUUUGUUGAAUUAGUUUAAAUAAUUGUUUGCCUGUUUUCCCUCUUUCAGUGAUAUUGUUCUAAAUCAUCUGUUUUUUUUUUUUUUUUUUUUUUAAGUUUACUGAUAUUUUAUUCUGAUCAUUGUUUUAUUAAUACAAUAAGCGUAGCACAGUUUCCUUCUGUUAUGAGCAACUCAAUGUCCUCACUGUUCCGGCUCAUCUGAGAGACAAUGAGGUAGGUUGCUGUUAAGGCUUUCUUGAUGCUACUAAAUCUGUGGGAAAUUUGUCACAGAGUUAUCUAGAUAAAUCUGUGCUCGUGACAGGGGGGCAGUAGGCUCGUGGGCUCCUUGGCUUCCCGAAAAAAAACAGAGCAGUGGCAAUGAUCUAAGGAGGAGAACUUAUUUUACUAUGAUGUUGGAAUGCAAGAUGACAUGAUAAAAUACAAUCUAAUUGAAAGUAAGGAUAAUAAAUCAAAUGAAAUAAGAGAGAGAGAAAGAAAGAGUGUGUGUGAGAGAGAGAGAGAGAGUGAGAGAGUUUCCAAAACCGAAAGCCCUACUUGAUGAAGGCGCACGGCUUGGAAGCACACCCACUCCUCUCCCUGGCAGCAAGCAAAAGCGAAAGACCAUGCGCAACCAGAUGAUGUAUCUUCUGUGAUGUAUCUUCCUUCUCUGACCGUGAGGUCAUCUGGGAUAUGUAGUUCUACUUCUCUUUUGUCCAUAAUGUAAUGAUGUGGAAUACCAAUAGCAAAAUUACAAAACCAUGACAAAAUUGUAACUAACUCUAUUAUAAUCAGAUACACGCAUGCAUUACUUUUUGCUUUGAAGGCAUAACAAAAAGUUGUUUGUUCACAAAUAGUUAAAAGCAGUCAGAUGAAAUUGGAGGUGCUGCCAGAAUAUUCUUAAACCAUCAUCCCAGUUGGAUUUAAAUAAUUUGUUUUGUGUUCAUAUGUUUUGAUGCAAAUUAGGUGUAUAGCCUUCUCACAGCUUUUUCUUUAUCCUAGAUAGCAAUUAGGCUAGUUGAAGAUAGAAACUUGCUGGCUAGGAUAUUUCUCAGUUGAUCUCGAUAAAUAAACCACUUCUCUUAGAAUUACACACUCACUCUUUUGUGCUUUUACUGAGCAGUUAGUUGAGAAUAUUCAAAGAAGGUUGUAAGCCUGGCUUUGCCUGAGUCAGCUUUGAACUCUUGAUGGCUUGAGAGACUCAUCCUGAGCUUUGAAAGAAGUUGCCCUUUUCCUAUCUGCUAGUGACUGAACUGCCAGAAAACACUCUUCCACUUUGGUUGCUCUUAUUUCAGAAGUUCUGAGGGCUUUACUUUUGCAGCCCUGAUGGAAUUAAAGAAACAUUCCUCGUGUCAGCUAAAAGCUGAGAUUUAUCCUUCCACUUGCAUUUCUUGGAUUUUAAUAUAACAACAUCAUGUAUUCAUUUUUUUCCUACCAUUUUCUGUUUUCAGUUCUGGGUAUCCCUUUCCCCACUCUUCCCACUUCCUCUUAACUUAAUCGAUCUUCUAAUAUUUUUGCUGUGUGAAGAGUGCGCCUUUUUGUUUCUUUUCAGAGUAUAAGCAACAAGUCUCAGAGCCAGGGUUGCUGGAUAAGGAUUCUUAUCCUUAUGCAGCAUUCUUUGUUGGACUCCAUAAUGCACGAAUAGAGACUGAAAAGGAGUGGCUUUUGGCUGUUUUGCUGCUUCCGAUGUUCUGCAUCUACUUUGGGCUACAGCAAGACUUGUGGGCCAUAAGAAGUAGAGAAUGUCUGAUAACAGAAGAGUAUGUUCUUGAUUUCCCUAUCCCAGGUACAGAAACUGGGCUCGGGUAGGAUUGUUCCAAUUAACAUACUGACCUGGGAUCAAUUCAUGUAGAGGGUAUUCCUCAGGGCCUCUUCAAUAUGUUCUUCUGUCCUCAAUAUGAUGGGGAAACUGCCUCCUUGGAAUCUAGGACGCCAUCACUGACGUGAUAUAACAGCAGAUUUGGGCCAGUCUCCUCUCUGAGAAGAGGUGGUCCUGUGAAAGAUCUGAAAUCAAUCUUCAGUAGUGUGCAACCCCUAAGCAUUAUGAAAGAAUGGAGUUUCUCCCAGUUAAUCUUCAGAUUUGAGCAUUUUCUGUGAGAAAUGUGUAAAACCUGUCCAUACUAAUUCUGGCAGUAUGCAGAUGUCACAGACAGUCUUCAGCCUGAGUACAUUUCAUGUAGGCCUUACAUCGACAGCUUGAAGGAAUCUGGAAAAAGGCCAUCGCAUUGACUAGUAAUAUUAAACACUAAGGUAUACAAGCAUAGUGAUCUCCAGAGAUACCUUGAAAUCUAGAGGGAAUACACCCAUGUUAACUGCAUGACAGUGCCAGCAGGAUCUCUGUCAUGAGGAAACUGGAACUUGCCAGAUGUUAGUGUCUGAAAUACAUGCCACAUCCACAAGACAGCAGAAUGAUCACUCUGUCAGAGCAGAAGCCUCCAGUAUGUAAAACAUACAUUUACCAUCCAGCUGGACACAUUUUACAAGGAAGUUUAACCGUUUAAAAUGGAGGAAGUUUACAUUCUCCCACUUUCUGAUGAGGACAGUAAUGUAAACUGUGUCCCAUAGAAAUAAUAUGUACAAUAAUCAAAUAUGAGCUUAAAAUUAUUUUGAAGUAGAUUCUGUUGUUUAAGACCAUGCUGACAAUGGGGAGACUAAAUUAACUCAGAUGCCAAAAUACUUCAAUCACAAACAUAUGCUCAGUUUUGCAAGUUAAAUGAUUUCUAUUUCCUUCAGAAGAAGUGGUGGUCUAGCAGAGAAUUUGGGUGAGUCAGAAAAAGCGUUUCUGCUGUAAUAAUAAAAGCAGGGGAUAGAGAAACCUUGGUCAUCUCCCAUUGCUUUCUCUCUUCCUAAGUCCCUUUCUUUUUUUCUCACUCCUGUACUCUAAGAAACUCUUUUAUCUCUAAAUGUCCUCUCAUUCAGUGAUGUCUUUCACUUUGUGUAUCUCCAUGAGCAUCUCUGAUUGCCUGUGCCGUUCUUCUCCCCAAGAACAUCUCCCAAAUGCAAGAUCCCAAAAAUCCAGUUUGGGACGUUGUUCAUUUAAUAUUGGUUUCAUAUGCUAGGCAUAUCUUUAAAAAUCCUUAAUAAAAGGUAGAAAAAUCAGCAAACAAACUGAAAUAUAGGUAGUUGUUGGUACUGCCUUUUUGCUUCAUACAGAUGCCUUUUAGUUAGCCAGUGAAAAGCAUGACUGAAGCAAACUGAAGUGUUAGAAGUAUUAUCAAUUACAGUGGUGUAGCGGAAACUAAUGGCAUGCAUUUGUUUCUUUCUUCAGUUCUUUGGUUAGAAGAGCGGUAUACUGUAUCUAUAGAUCUGUCUUGAACAGUGAUUCUCAGUAAAGCUUUAAAAACUUCAAAAUCAUUGGAAAAGGAGUAGUUUGAAUUCGUAGGAAUGUGUUGUUUUCUGUCAUGACUGUUAUAGUGCUUUUCACUGUCCGUAAUAGAACUUCAGAACACCUGUGUAGUAAGAUUUCUUUUUGAAUAGUCUAUUUAAACAAUAAAUAAAAAAAAUUGCUUUCUGGUAUUCGGUUUAAAACAAAGCUUAAUCGUGCAUGACAUUGCAAUUAAAUGAUGAGAUAGAGAAUGAAUGAGGGCAGAAAGAGAUAAUCAAUGUAUAAAAGCCGUUAAUAAUCAUGCAAGUAUCUUACUACAAACCAGUAUGGAGGAUUCCUGGGAAGGAGCCUUUCAGACUAAACAGCUCAAAACUUGGGAGUGUUGUAUUAAGAUGAGUUUCCCAUAUAGUUUGCUAUACCUGGCUGCUGGGUAUUGAGACCUUGAACACAGCUGUAGCAGAGAUUCAAUAAGAAUAUGUAAUUCCAUGAGAGUAAUAUGAAGAUAAAUUCUUGGUAUUUGUGAAGUCCUUAAAUACAUCAGUGGGAAUACAUUAGAAAUGCUCACAAAGAAAAUAAUUAUUUUCUGUACAAGGUAGCUGCUUGUGUUUUAAUGUGUGGGGAUGUGUAUAAGGACAAAAAUAAGUUUCCAGUGAUCUCUGCAUUCACUGCAAUAGGCAAGAGUCCUGAUUAGGAAUAACAGUGUUUUACUGUUUAAUUAGAAAUAGUAUUGUGAUAUACAACAGUUGGAUUUAACAGGCUUCCUUAAGUCUGCCAUGUCUAUGCUUAGCAACUGUACCCAUCUCUUUGUAUGAUUUUUCCUAAUGCACUUUAAUAUUUGUGUGCUGUAUUUCCAACCCCAUAGUCAUGAUCACAGUCAAAGUCCUGUUGUAUUUAUAUGCAAAUAAACACAGUCUCUUUGCUGUUAACUGUUUAACAACUGAAACUUCUGGUACAGUAUUAAAUUAAAUUAAUUAAACAAAUUAAAGCUCUCAAGGAAAUCUGCAACGUUUUUAGCUGCUCCUAGAAUAACAAAGCCACAUUACAACUUUAGAUAGUGAUCUUUGCAUUCUUUUAAAGGGAUUUGAAUGGCAGAGACUUCACUGAAGAUAAAGCUCUAAGGAGUGUUAAAAGUGAAGGUUCCCCAUAAGAAUAAAAUUAACAUUUUUGGCAGGGAAUUGUGGGAAAAAUUAUGUGGAAUGUCUUAAAAUAUAUUUUCCUAGGAGAUAUUUACUGAUAAAAGGCUGCAGCCAUUAUGACGAAAAUAGUAUUGUUUUUUCUGAUUCAUUUUUCCUCCUCCUCUGCCUGGUAAAGUGCAAAAUCAAUAUAAAGAUAUAAAAAAAACCACAGCACUGUGGUGACUAGGAAAAAAAGAAAUCUGUUGAGCGUUAGCCAUAUUCAAAAGAAUAAUUAAGUUAUUGGAAGCGUUGUUUACACCAAAGGCCAGGCUAGUUUUCAGUACUGAUUUUUAGAUAAUCUAUCUUCCACAGUCAAAGAAAAGAAACGAAAAUAAUACCAGACUUCAAACACUUAACUUAUGAAGAAAGAUUAGCAGACUUAUUUUGAUCAAAAAACAAAAUAUAUUUCAUGGUGAUUUUUAGCAAAACUUCUGUAUUUAGGUAGGUGACAGCUUAUAUUUAACAAAUUCUUUAUUCUUGCAGGGAAAAAAAGGGGGAAAAUGAAAAGGGAUUAAGGAAGGCUGAAAAAAAUAUCUCAUGUGAAACAUUUUCACAUGUAGAGUAAUAAAUAUGUAGAAAAAUUAGUGGAAUGGUUAUUGAAGUUUGACACAUUGAUGGAUUCUAAAGGCAUCUGUGGAUAAAGGUAUCUGUUGCUGGGAUAGAAAGUUAUGGAAGUAAGGAAAGCAUAGAUAAAGUGGAGUGCUAAGCUUUUUUCCUUUUCUAGAAGUUUAAGUUCUUAAUAAAUGUAAGGGAAAUGCAUUUUAAGGAGGGAUAAGAGAAGAGAAGAGAAGAGAAGAGAAGAGAAGAGAAGAGAAGAGAAGAGAAGAGAAGAGAAGAGAAGAGAAGAGAAGAGAAGAGAAGAGAAGAGAAGAGAAGAGAAGAGAAGAGAAGAGAAGAGAAGAGAACCAUUCUAUUUUUCUUUCUGAAAAACAGCCCUAAGUGAUGAAAGCAAGUUUUGUACCUUGUGCGUCAUGUGCCUGCUCAGGCAUACUCCGUGCUGACACAUUCACUAUGCUUCAAUGACUGUAGCUUUUGCUGGCUAUGCAUAUAGAAAAAUUGUAUUGUAGUGCUUAACAUUUGUAGCUUCUUCCUAUUCGGGGGGAGCUUUUGUCCUCUUUUGCUUUGUUAGAAUUACCUGUGAUGUGAAUGUAACCACAGUGCACUUAAGUGUAUUGUCACUGGGAAAGGCAUGUGGGUUGCCUCAUGAAGCAUGCUCUCUUGAUUUCAGCAGUAAGUACACAACCAGUGUAGUCAGUAAUUUUUGCAUAUAAAAAAUCACUGGAAGAUGAGUCCUUCCAAUUCCGGAUUUUCUGUAGAGAAAACAUCUUACAUAUUUUAAUAAUUAUCUUUGCUGUUGGUGACAGGAAAUAUAAAAUGUGUGCAGGUUAAUUAGGGAAGCUUUCCCGCCUCAUGCAAGAAUCAUAACUGAGAAAACACUGAAGUAAAAGUUAUGGUAUAUUAGGUGCUUGAUAGUAUUUUCACAGCCAUAUGCUCUUUAUCCACCUCACAUCUACGGUAACUUAAAACAGCUUGCCCUUGAUUGCAGAGGGGCAAUGGGGAAUAAGCUACCUUAUAUUCUACCAUAGAUAGCUCUUUGUCGCCUGGCAGAUCUGGUGUCUCUUGCUCAGCUGGCAGAUCAAGCAAAGGAAAUGAGAUGGGAAGGAUGGAAAGAGCAGCCUGCCGAGUUAGCUUUGUUUGGUCCUUGCUGCUGUCCCUGAUCUGUUGGUCUUUUUUCUUUCCACCAAACUGCUGUGGUCAGCAGACCUCAAAGGUAGUCCUGGGAACUCUACGUAGUGAUGGCUGGCCUGCUGGAGAUGGGCUUGGUACUCAGAGUUGAUGUUCACAGAAGAUUUUUAACAGUUCAGUGAAAGAGAGGGGGGAGAGAGUGAAAGGGCAAAAUAACUAACCAUUAGUUUUGGAUUUACUAUGUUCCUACCUCCUUAACAGAAUUUAGUUUGUCUAACAGCCUUUCAGUGUCUAAAGGGGUGCUAUAAGAAAGAAGGGAACAGAUUCUUAGUGGGAUCUGUUGUGAUAGGACAAGAGGAAAUGGUUUCAUAUUGAGAAAAGGGAGAUUUAGAUUGGAUUUAAGGAAGAAAUUUUUUACAGUAAGUGUGGUGAAGCAGUGGAACAGAUUGCCCAGAGAGGUGGUAGGUGCUCCAUCACUAGAGACACCCAAGGUCAGGCUGAAUGAGGCUCUGAGUACCCGAUGAAGCUGUAGGUGUCCCUCUUCAUUUCAGGGGAGUUGGUCUGGAUGGCCUUAAAAGGGGCCCUUCAAAAUCAAAAGAUUCUAUGGUGAUUCUGUGAUUCUACUUCAUAAAGAUUUUCAAGAACAAGUUUCUGUACCUGCGUCCAUUUCAUGAGACUUAAGUAGCUCAGGACUAUCAUGACCUAUUUAGGAGUAAGCAAAACAGUAAUAAUUUGUAAGUACUAAGUCUCCCAUUCAGACUUCUGUAAAAGCUGAACUGCAUACUGGUUAUAGCUGUCUGCCACUUUUACUUGGUACUUCUUCUGAAUUUGAGAUGAAAUAAAAAUGAAGAUAAUGUUAAUAACAGUCAGUUAAUAAAUGCAUUUUUACCCCCACAUGAACUGAGGGAAAGUGGUAGCAUUCAUUUUUUUGUAGAGGCAUCUGAAUCAGAAUAGAUUUUAUCAUGUAUUUAAGUGAUUAAAUUUCUCUGUUCUGGCUGCUAAGUGAUUUGUUUUUUGCAGUGACAUAAGGGCAGAAGCAGUUUGCAGCCUGAGUGAUAAGACUGAAUGAUGCUGCAGAAGAUACAGAGUCAAUGUUUGUUUUGUUAUGCCUUUUUAUAAACUUCCAGUGAAACUCCUGUAAUUUUUUUUUUUCCAGAGAAAUAUGCUCAUCUUAUCCAUGCUUUGUGUUUUGUCCUUCAAAAAAAAAAAAAAAAAAAAAAAAAAAAAGGAAGGUCAUCAGGUACUACCUAAUUAGAUAUUGUCAUCAAUAAGCUUACAAAACGAUGACAAACAAAAGCGCUUUUCAGUGCUAUUCCUUUUUUCUCCUGUAGGUCAUACAUGUGCCAUCCAUGGUCUCUUUCCUUUGCCGUACAGUUACAUAGUGGGAGGAUUAUGAUGCUUUUUAAAAUUUGUUUAUGUUUGAGUUUCUGGUUUGUAGAAUAGACUGGCCUGGCCUGUAGUUCAUCAGCAGUGUGUUCUCUUUAAGACAUGGAGCUGUCUCCUGGCUGCAGGUGCUACUGCUGGUAGGACCUAAUUUCUGCCUUUUCAGCUGCUAUGUAUAAACUCAAAGUUAAAAACUAAAAGCAAUUACAAUUAAAAUAUUUUUCUUCUUGUAUUAGAACACAGACAUAUUUCUACUGCAGAUUGAAAAAUAAAUUUGCUUAACUGAGUGCAGGUGGAGAUUUUAAAAUUGUAAAAUCUGGAUAUUUAACACUCAUUUAAUUUAGUUUGCUAUGUUUUUAGAACUUUGAACCUUACCUCAAAAUGUAAUUAACGUGAUAACUGCUAUAAAAAGUAGCACAAAAUACAUUGCAGUACAAUUCAGAGGUUUUGAAUUAACUAGCUGUAAUGAAUGAUGUAGAAAUGCUGUGUGAAUAAGAGUGCAGUGAAACUUCUAUGGAUUACAACAAGAUAUGCAGAUACAAUUCACAAAGAAAUCCAAAAUUACAUUAUUUAAAUGGGCUAGUGUGUUUGUGGAAAUGAGGGCAUGGUUGAGUUCAAAUCUCUUGAAGAAACUCAUUGCAUUUGUGAACCUCUGGCCUUAUUUGUGUCUUCCCAUUGGUUACAUAGUAAGGGUCUAGAUAUCUGUGAGGAAUUCCCAGAUUAUAGUCACAUCAUUUAGACUUAAGAAAGGUCUUUAAAAUAUUUUGUUAGCUGUUCAUAUCUGCUGGAAAUCACUACUUAGUCCAGCAUCAUGCUAAUUAAUUUUACACCAGACUUUACCAUUCUUACUCAUACUGUGGAGGUAAUCUAUCAUCACGCUAAAGCAAGGGAAAUUCAAUCCAUCACUGCCGGAUUCCGAUGCAGGGCUGCAAGGGGGAUACAAGUCAUCUUCCUGGUAGUAAUCAAACAGCUGUGAUACAUGCCACUUUAAGCUUGUAUCAUCCUGUAAUAAAUAGUUUUCUUCUACAUGGAGUCUGCUACAAAAUUUUCUGACAGAUGGACUGUUUUCCAGAGGUUUCAUUUUGUGGAUUUUAAAGCUGUGAACUGGUUAUAGACAAAUACUACAUCAUCAGUUCCAGUUGAAGACACAGACUAAUAAGUGGAACAUUGGCACUAAUCCUUAUUUAAUCAGCCUUAAAAUGGUAAUUUCAAAUUGAUGAGGGCAUAGGGAAUAGAUUUUAUACAUCUAAAGUGCUACUAAAAAUACCAGGGAUAUGCAUAUACAACCCAAGGAUGAAAUUAAAGUGCAUUCUGCAUGUAUGGUGAGUGAAGCAUGCUAUAGAAAGCUAAGGUCAGAGCCAUGAUGGGACCAAAGAAUUCCUUGUUUUGAAAACAAUGCACUCCCACUCUGAGUUUCAGUACUGGAUGGUUGUGGGAGCGUUGUUGCUUUACUUUUUUCUUUUGCUUUCAGUUAUGCUACCUGAUUCACUUCAAAAAGCUGUUGAUGCAUUCUAAAGCAUUAAGAAGCUUUAAUAAAAAUAAAUAAAAACAACAACACAAAACUCUGUCUGGCUAAAGCUUCAGAACUCAAGAAACCAAAUUCAAUUAGCCAUUUAAUCUAGAUUCAGUAUUGACAGUAAUAUGUCAGUCUACAUUAUGGUAUAUUUGGAAAAGCUGAAGCUGAUAGUUAACUCCUAGGUUGUAUGAUAUUAGUCUUGUAUGAUGCAUUUGUCUUUCAAACUGUUGGAAAACUUCACAGAUUCUUAAACAUGACCAAGUAGGUGUUCAUAUGAAAGUGGAAAUGCUUUCUAACCACUUGCAAACUUUCAACAGAAAGAAACAUUACAGCAGUGGAAGGUUGAUUAUCUGUUCAGAUUGAGUGCUCAAAAUAUUUUGUAAGCCUUACUGGUCACAUUUGCAAACAUCAAUCUCAGUCUGUUUUAAGGUUCAGUUAGCUGAGCCAUGUAACAAGUGUAGAAGUAUUUAAUGUUUUGUGAUCUUUUGUUUUUUUGCUGUGGUUUUUAGUUUAAGUUUUCGACUUCAGUCUUAUGCUGGAAAUUACAUUCAAUGAAAGCUGGACGUAGAAACGUAAAUGAGCACCAAAUAAAAUGGUGCCCAUAAGACAUUUAAAAGAUGGUAUUUGCUUCAUCUGUAAUAUUUAUCUUUGGUCUCCUAUGCAUGAUAUAUUAAAAUAAAUACAUAAAUGUUAAUAAGAAUAGAGGCUUUAGUCUAAUUUUCAGAUGGAAAAAUUAAAGCUGUUGAUUUGACAUAACCAUUCAACUUGUUACUCCAUGAAAGAUUACCACCUGAAUUCAGUGAAUGAUUUACAAAUCAUCUAAUACUAUACCUAGUGUAGCUUCUGCAUCCUUAACUGGCAACAGCAUAUAUACUAGUAGAAAUUAAAAUGCUAUUACUCAUUGUUACAAGUUCCUAAUGGAUAGAUCUCCAUAGCAAUGACUAUAAGGUGAGUAGAGAAGUUGCUCAGACAUGUCAUUUAUAAACAUUAAGUAGUAUUUACUGGGUUCAAGCUUUUGAGAAAGCUUCCGAAUUGCUGCAUGAAAAGGCUUCUUAUAAUCUGAAAUAGAUAAAGCAGCUGCUAGAAGUGUAGCACAGUGCCUGCUGGUAAGGAAGAGGCUUUUAUUCUAGAUAAUGUACUAUAUGGAAACUGCCAGAGAGAUCUGGCUCACCUUCAGUCAGGAAGUAUCUCUAUCAAGAUAAGAUGAUCUCAGGUGUUCUCAUAGUUUCUCUUGUAGCCUUAGAGGGUAGGCUACCACCUGUCUGGUGUUGUUGUCACAUGAGUAACUUUCAAGAACUGCGUAUGUUCCUGAUUAGUUAUCUGGGAGCAAUACUAUGAAUAUUAUUUGCUGUUUUUUUUUUUUUUUCCUUUUAUCACUGUGUAAGUGUACAUCUCUGCAAUGUGUUAAGAGAAAGAAUGUGUUUUUGUUGGUGUUUAUAGUCUUCAGUGUAGAUUCAGUGAAGUCAGUAAUUUCUUUUUCUUCACUGGGAAACCUUUAAUUCUGUUUUCACAUUCUUAAUCUAUAACUUCUUGGCUCAACUGUUUUGUUUUUGCUAUUGUUUUUCUUUUUUUGAGAUCUCUCCUACAAUAAAGCUAGACAGAGUUGUUUUAGAAAAAUGUGUGAAUCAUUUUUACUCAUGCUGAAAGUGGUUUAAAUUUAGAUGAAAAUAUCAGUGGAAAGCUUGAGUGCUAAAUAAAUGCACAUCUCUUAAGUACACACACUUUUAGCUCUUGUCUGAGGAAAAGUUGGGAUAACAGAUGAAAUGUAAGAGAAGAGAUGACUUAUUAGAAUGAGCGUUCAUUUAAUGUGUCAUUGUAACUAAUACUCUGAAGAGUUCACUUAUCAGCCAAAGACAUCUAUGCCUUUCAUGUGUGUUAGUUCUAAAGACAUUAAUAGAAACCUCAAUAAUUAGAGGAGGUGAAAUUUGGAUGUCCUGGAAAGUGGAUUUAUGGUGUGUGUAUAUAAAUUUUGUCUCACUGAAAGAGUGUUUUUUUAAUGGCAAUUCAUGUAAUUCUUGCUGUAAAUGCUAGAUAUAGUAAGUUGUUCCAGAGAAAACAAUAGACUAAUUUAUAUGUUUUUAAACAUCAGCAAAAUAAUCUCUUUCAGCAGCACUGGUGUAGUAUCAGUAUAAUUAGAUGAGUCACUAACUGAUUGUCAUAAGCCUGACUGUCAGUAUUAAAUAAUUAAAAAGAUGUUGACAAUAUUAACACUAGAUUUUUUAAAUCAAGUUUCUAAAAGUAUUUUGGAAACUACCUAGAUUUGAUUUCAAAUAAACAGUAUUGUUUCUGCAGAAUUUCCACAGACAUUUCUAAUGCACUUCGACAGGUCUUGACCAUCAUCUCAAGCCCUCUGACAUUUGGAUGGUUAUUGCCACUGCAACAGUAUGAUUAUGGAGGAAGCACCAAUAGUCACAGUGUAAUUAGAGCUGCACAAAAAGUAACAGAAGAGUUUAGGGAGAGUUCAGGAGAAAAAUUUUAGAUGGGAUUUGAAAUGGCAGAAGUUAUAUUUAGUAUUUUUGCUUCACUUAACUGAGUAUACAUUCUGUGAAAUGAAGGAGGAAGUGAAAACCAAUUUACAGGAUACAUUACUUGAUGAGCUGGUAUUUAAUUAUUGGAUUACCUUUCUGUUUCUUUCUGUUGGUCACUCAGGAAAUCUGUAAAUACCAAAUGUUAUUUUGGUUGUAUAUCAUUGGUGAGAUUUUCUUUUUCAAAUGAUGGAAGUUCUGGGAAAAAAUGUCAUGUAAAACAUGAUUUUGUGGGACACACAGCCCUUAAUAUAUUUUUUUAAUUGUUAUUAUUAUUAUUUUGGUCUAAAAGCCACUGUGUAGAGUUCUCCUGGCACUUCUGAAUUAGAGGAGUUUUCUGAGCUGCAAGGGCAAGGGGAUUGAAUGGGCUGUCAGGUAUUGGACAGCUCAUGAGGGAGAAAAUAGGAGAACUGAAACAGAAGAGAGAUACAGUUUUGUAUUAUCUUCUGUGUAUCUGGAGGAAUAAAUUGUGUUUUUACUCCAUGCUUCAUGUUUCAGUAAGUGAGAAUCCAUACUGUAAGAUAAUUCAGCAACGUAUGGGAAAAGCUUCAUACAUCAGGCAUCUUCUUAGCAGCAAUCCAUCAGUAGCUUGAAGCUCAGUUGCUUCUUACAGGCUGGUGCUGUUGGUAGUAGUGAAUGUGGAAAAUGUACUUCAUGAACAUUUAUAUUUAAAUGAAUAGCCACUUAUAAAAUGUCCACGUCAUUUGACUUUAUGCCUACUCCAUCCUUUGAAUACUUGUAAAAGUGCAUUGUAAUACUACUGCUCAGCUUCCAUACUGAGCACUUUAACUGCUUCAAAGAUCAGAAGAGACAUAACUUCCAUUUUCAUCAGUAGUAAUUUUUGCUCUUUAGAUAUAUGAGCAAUGUAUACAUGUUUUUUGUCUAUGUGCAACUCUACACAAAUGUAUUUUAGAAAUUUCAAAUUAUAAUCUACUUAGAAGGGGAAAAUAAUAAUAUAGAAAACAACCAAUGAAACAAUGACAACAAAUCCACAAGUUCUUCCCUGUAUUAUCUCUACUGAGAGGUUAAUCUUUUCUAUAUUAAUCUAUAAGAGCCAGCAGAUUCUUUUGUCUUCUGAGAGUCAACUUCUAGGGGCUGUGAGGAACAGUGCUCAUCCAUGUGACAGUACAGACUCUUAUGAAAUAAGAAGUGAGAAGGAUGAUCCUAAUAGCAAAACAGCAAAUAAAUAAAUAAAUAAAUAAAUAAAUAGAGAGAAAAUGCUGUGAAAUAUAAUUAACCACAAAUCAGCAUAUCACAUAUCUGAAUUCCACAGCCAAUAUCUCAGCCCAAUAAGGUUCCCUUUCCAUCUCAACUUUACCUCUUGCCUCUUACUUGUUCACCUUCUACAUGAAAACUGCAAAAAGGUAGUAAGCUAUAGUCAUGGAAACCUGAAAGAUUUACAGGAGAAUGAAACUCAUUUAGUCAUAACAAAAAAAAUAAUAAUAAUAAUAAUCAUGUCUUGGGGAGGGUUGAGGGUUGCAGAUGAUGUAGUGUCUUCCUGGUGGAUCUGAUAAGUUUUAUUAAAGUGUUAUUAUUAAACCAUGAAACUAUGGCUAUUUCUUGUUUUUAAUAAUGUCAUAUUAGAGUUUUUGUUUGUUUUAAGGAGGCAUUAAUUUCCUCUUACUCCACUUAUUUUUUUUUAUUUGUAUUAAAUCAAGGAUUUUGUUCAGAACAACAGGAUAUAUAUAAAACUAAAAAUUCUCUGUUCAGAUUUUCUUUGAUUCUUAACCUUCAACAACUUUUUAAGUUUAGUUUCAGAAAUCUACAAGUGGAUUCCAUAAUAUGGAAUGCACUAAUGAAAAGGUAAGUGUAGGUAUAGCGUGUCAUACAUGUAGAUUAUCACUGAUAGACAGAUCACAGCCUAGAUAUCCUCCAACAAUACAGAAGAAGCAAAUGAGAUGCUGUGUGCUGUUUUCAAAUGUGUAAAUCUGUUCUUUAAUAUCUUGGUUCUAGAUCUGAAAAAAAUACUUGAGCAAAGUUGAAUUACGAGAGUGAGAAAUUGUUUCAAUUUUAGAUAAAAGUUGUGCUUGAUGCUGUUUUAAUGCAUGUUUCAAUGUGACCAUUGCUUUAAUAGAAAUAAUAUUCCAGGUUAGUAGAAGUAUAAUAACUAGGAAGAGAGAGAUAUCAUAUGAAUAGGUAAUUACCGUUCUAUCAAUUUCAUAAGUAAUUGUUAAACAGCAGUAACCAGUUUUGUUUUGUUUUAUUUUUCUAAGCGCUAUUGAAGAUAAUCUGUUGAGGUAUGACCUGGCUUCCAUAUAAAGGUCAUAGUUAAUUAGAAAAACAAGUUAAGAUUUUUCCUAACUUACAGCUAGGGAUAGGAAGCUGAGCAGAAAGCUGUAGUCUUGAAUAGAAAAGUAUAUUUUUAUGUAUGUUACACGCAUUUAUGCAUUAUUAUAUAAUAAUAUAUAAUAUAGAGUGUUUUGCAUACAAAUAUAAUGACAAUAAAAGGGAACAUGUAAAGAGUGCUUCAUAUGGUUCAAAAAACAUUAUCAGAAAUUGCUAGCAAUUAGAACUAAAAACAAACAUUUAGUAAAGUCUCACUGCAUUUGAAAGUGCUUAAUACUGAAUGGUGAAUUUUAACAUUCCAUUAACUAGAAAAUAACAACAAUUUAGGCAAUUGUGCCAGUAGAUGGAUUUGUACUUUGUGAUGCAUGAGGUAGGCACUCAAGAGAAUUGUUUCACUUUGACUCAUUUCUGAUUCUACCUUGAAUCGCCUUCCCAAGGCAACUCUACUCUUCUUAUUGAGUUAUUUAUUCGGUUAGCUGACAGUGUCUGAGAGGACAAUGAAAUAAAAGGGUACAAAUGGGCUGAUAUCUACAUAGGGAUGGAGUUAAUGUUUUUUUUGUUUGUUUGUUUGUUUUUCAUUUUGAGAUCUCUAUUAAUGGAGGAAUAUUUUUCUGUAGAAUUAUUUUGCUGUUGAAACAAAAAAUAAAUUUUUAGUUAGGACAUGUUACAAGAUACUGGCAAGUAUCCGGGCUUUUGGAAAGUUUGAGAAGCAUAAAGCCAGCAUUAAAAGGACAUUUGAUACUGAGAAACAACAUAAUGGAGGAAAUAAGAUCUUAUAUGCAAAUUCUUGCUCUGGAAGUACUCACUGCAGAUAGCCCAUGCUAUCUUUUCUUUUCAACAAGUUUAGUGAAGUUAUCUUGUAAAGUUAUUAGAAUAGCACAUACUGAGGGUAUAAUUAAGGUAAAAUAAUAUUAGUAUGAUAGUUUACAUAAAACCUAAAAUGUAGAGAAUUUAAAAGCUUUUAAUUUAGACACAUCAAAGUAUUUUUGUCCUCUAGUAAAUAUUGAUUACUUACUUUUAGUAAUUAUUUUGCUUUUACAACAUUUAAGAAUUUCUUUUGCAAUGAAAUUAAAUAAAAAAAAAAAUCCAACAUAUACCCAGCAGAUACCUGUGUAAUUAUGAAUGUCAUUAAUCUCAAGAUAUAGAUCAGAUUUUAAGUCCAGAAUUAAAUUUUGAAGUUUAAGAUUGACUUAGUCUUUAUUCUGCUGUAGUAGCACUGUCUACAUAAAAAUAUGAAGUUUAGAAUUGGUUUAUUGUUGGAUUCACAACUUCUUCAAAAUCAAACUUUAUUUGCAGUUAAGAACUAUUAUUGGAGACAUGAUAAAUUCUGACAACUUACUAGUAUAUCAAAUGUGUAGGAAAUAUGAAUGACCAGUCAUUUUUUUUCUCCACAAAUUCCAGUACAAAAAACAUAGAAAGGAAGAAUGAAAGGGAAAAAACGAAUCUGCAUGUAAUGCCAAAGCUUUAUAGUAUCACUAAGAGAAUGCAUGCUCUAGCCUAUUGUCUCUGGUUUCUUUCAUCUUUCUUUUUGGAUGAUUGCUCAGAUUUAAAAGAAUUCUGUGAUGGAUAUUCAGAAAGCUUGUUAGUGUUCAGCUGCAGAUUGCAAAGAAUUGUGGUACAACAAACUUGUGGGCAGGAGAAAAUAUAGAAUUAGAAAAGAAAUGUGGGCACUGAAAAGAUUACAUUUAGAAUUAUAACCUGUGUACUUUAAAUAUUGUCUCAGGGAAAUCAAGACUUGCUAAAAGUAUAUGCCUCUGUUUUCUUCAAAAUUGAGGUACAGUUUUGAUGCUUUUGUACUAUUUUUUUUUUCCUGUGGUUAGUUUUGGUUAUGUGAAUAUUUUUGUUAAAUAAUAUUAGUCAGUGAUUAUUCCUGAAUUGGCAAUUUUAUUCAUAAUGUGAGAGUUAAAUAUAUUUAUUUAGCCUGAUGAUAGAAUAUCAGUACAGCGUACUGCCAAGAGAGAGACCAGCUGCCAGAUCAAUUAUCUGUGUUUCUUUGCCUCUUCUGGGGAAAGCAAAGCAAAGCUGUUUGGCCAGUGGAGAAGGCUGAACAGAUUUAAUUUCUCUACUGCAGUUCAGUAGAUAGUUUUUGUACUUGAAAUGGCUGUCUCAAGUUUAAAGUGAGAAUCUUGCAAAGCAUAUGUUUUUUUUCUUGUUUGUUUGUUUUACAUACAUUUUACCUAGUAAGAUAAAUGUUCCAUCAGUACACAAAGCACUGGAAAUGCAAGACAAAGCUCAAAGAUAAUGAAGAUAUUAUGUCUUUCUCUGAGAGUAUCCACUUUACAUGAUAGACGUUAACUUUGAUGAAAAAUGAGUAAAUGCUUGUAUGCAUUUUCAAAAUGCUGAAGAAAUAAGGGACUUAUCCAACUACUGUCAUGUAAUAGUACCACUUCUACAUGGUGUAGAUAUAAAUAAGUCAAUUAGCAUGAAACAGCAUGAACCUGCUGAAUUUCCACAGUGCCUGUACAUUUUGAUCUGCAAUAUGGUCAACCAGGGGAUCUGGCCCAGUCAGCAUAGGUUCAUGAACUGUAGAUUGUGUUUGACAAACCUGACUUCAUUUUAUGAUAAGGUGAUCCGCUUAGUGGAUGAAGGUGAGGAUGUUGCUAUGGUCUAACUGGACUUAAGUAAAGCCUUUCAUAGAAUCAUAGAAUUGCUCAGGUUGGAAAAGACCUUAAAGAUCAUUGAGUCCAACCGCAACCUAACCAUACUAUCCUAACUCUAACCACCCUCUGCUAAAUCAUGUCCCUGAGCACCACAUCCAGAUGGUUUUUAAACAUAUUCAGGGAUAGUGACUCAGUCACCUCC